rnacentral:rRNA from 1 species
AGCGAACGCUGGCGGUAGGCCUAACACAUGCAAGUCGAACGGCAGCACAGUAAGAGCUUGCUCUUACGGGUGGCGAGUGGCGGACGGGAGAGGAAUACAUCGUAAUCUACUUUUUCGUGGGGGAUAACGUAGGGAAACUUACGCUAAUACCGCAUACGACCUACGGGUGAAAGCAGGGGAUCUUCGGACCUUGCGCGAUUGAAUGAGCCGAUGUUGGAUUGGCUAGUUGGCGGGUUAAAGACCCACCAAGUCGGCGAUCCGUAGCUGGUCUGAGAGGAUGAUCAGCGGCACUGGAGCUGGGACACGGACCAGACUACUGCGGGAGGCAGCAGUGGGGAAUAUUAGACAAUAGGCGCGAGCCUGAUCCAGCCAUACCGCGUGGGUGAAGGCGACGUUCCGGUUGUGAAGCCCUUUUGUUGGGUGAGAAAAGCUGCCGGUUAAUACCCCGCUGUUCUGACGGUACCCAAAGAAUAAGCACCGGCUAACUUCGUG